rnacentral:rRNA from 1 species
AAAAAAUUAGAGUGUUUAAGGCAGGCUUAUGCCGUGAAUAAAUUAGCAUGGAAUAAUAAGAUAGGACUUCGGCACCGCUGAUUAGCUACCGCUGGGAUAGAUUGCGCGGACGUUCUCACGAACUGAAGUGUGGUCUGCUCGGAGGAGUUAUGGCUUGUCGGUCUCUAUUUUGUUGGUUUUUAGAGCUGAAGUAAUGAUUGAUAGGGAUAGUUGGGGGUGCUGGUAUUGCCGGGCCAGAGGUGAAAUUCUUGGAUUCUGGCAAGACCAACUUAUGCGAAAGCAUUCACCAAGGAUGUCUUCUUUAAUCAAGAACGAAAGUUGAGGGAUCGAAGACGAUCAGAUACCGUCGUAGUCUCAACCAUAAACUAUGCCAACUAGGGAUUGGGCGUCGUUGUAUAGGACUCGCUCAGCACCUUAUUUGAGAAAUCAGAAGUUAUUGGGUUCCGGGGGGAGUAUGAUCGCAAG